GAUGAACGCUGGCGGCGUGCCUAAUACAUGCAAGUCGAGCGAACGGACGAGAAGCUUGCUUCUCUGAUGUUAGCGGCGGACGGGUGAGUAACACGUGGAUAACCUACCUAUAAGACUGGGAUAACUUCGGGAAACCGGAGCUAAUACCGGAUAAUAUUUUGAACCGCAUGGUUCAAAAGUGAAAGGCGGUCUUGCUGUCACUUAUAGAUGGAUCCGCGCUGCAUUAGCUAGUUGGUAAGGUAACGGCGUACCAAGGCAACGAUGCAUAGCCGACCUGAGAGGGUGAUCGGCCACACUGGAACUGAGACACGGUCCAGACUCCUACGGGAGGCAGCAGUAGGGAAUCUUCCGCAAUGGGCGAAAGCCUGACGGAGCAACGCCGCGUGAGUGAUGAAGGUCUUCGGAUCGUAAAACUCUGUUAUUAGGGAAGAACAUAUGUGUAAGUAACUGUGCACAUCUUGACGGUACCUAAUCAGAAAGCCACGGCUAACUACGUG
rnacentral:rRNA from 1 species